rnacentral:lncRNA from 1 species
CUCUCUCAGGGUUGAGGCAGCGAAGGUGGUGGUGGCGGGGCGACGGUGAAAGUGGUGGCUGUGAGUGCUGGAGCUGAGGCCGCUUUUGCCGCCGCGGUGAGGUGUAGUCCUGUUUGCCGGCGUUUUCCGCUGAGUCAGAAGCGCUGGUGGUCACAGACUGCGCUCUCACCCACACUGAGGUCGAUCUGGAAGGAAUUUACUGAGGGGGCUCUCCAGCAGCUGGCUAACCGGGAAGGAAGUAGAACUAGAAGACAUGCUUUACUCUUCCUGAAGAAGAUACUUAAGCCCCUCAAGAAGAGAUUUAAUUUGAGCGCUGUGUUGAUUUGUGCAUUCCUUGUAAAGCACACACUAAAUUAGCUUCACAUCCCAGCCGUACCUUCAUCUGCAGCACACAUCUCUCCCCCAGCUCCUCUCAGCACUCACUUAGCCCUGUUCAGUUCCCCUGUAGGCACAGGUACACAUAUAUCAGCCUCUUGUAAUCAUGAAGACGAGGGACGAACUUACAAAGACACCCGGCACACUGUGACAAUCCUUAACUGGGAGAAAAAAAAAAGAGAGAGAGAAAGCAAAGAAAGGUAGAAUAAGAGCAAGAAAAAAAGAAAAGGAAAGAAAACUAGAAAGAUGCAGCAACCAGUAAAACGAUGGUGGCAAAGAUAAAAUGCCGAUGGAAAAAAUCCGUUAAAUGCAAAGUUUGAAAAAAACUUCCUAACUCGGUUAAUGCUGUGGAAAUAAUUCCAGUUCAUCUCAGUGCUAGUGAACGCCUAGUACAAAAUUCUUCAGAGGCGAGGGCUGGCUUAGUGCAGAGGAGAAACGUCGCUCCGUUGCCCUGUUGCAUCCAAAUUCUCCUUUCAGACAAGUUUCCGCGGCGUGAUGGAGAUGGGCAGAAGUCUGGAGAGUGCUUUCCUAUUAUAAGCUGUUAACUUGUUGGUUUGUACUCACAUAUAUUUUAAAGAAAUAAUAAACAUCUUAUAGUUCUGCACAUAUUCUAAAUUACAGUGGUUCUAGAAGAAUUUUGUAACUGACAAAUUAGAGCUUCGGUUUUACGAAUUCUGAAUUUUAAAACCGGUAAUGACUUCUCAGUCCCUGAGAUCCUCUUCUUUGUUUUUUUAUUUUGGGGUGUGUGGGUACGUGUAAGAUGAGAAAUGUACAAACACAAGUAUUUCAGAAACUCCAAGUAAUAUUCUGUCUGUGAGUUCACGGUAAAUAAAUAAAAAGGGCAAAGUGACAGAAAUACAGGAUUAUUAAAAGCAAAAUAAUGUUCUUUGAAAUCCCCCCCUUGGUGUAUUUUUUAUCUUAGGAUGCAGCACUUUCAGCAUGCCCAAGUAUUGAAA